rnacentral:rRNA from 1 species
AACGAACGCUGGCGGCGUGCCUAACACAUGCAAGUCGAACGCGAAAGGGGGCAACCCCCGGUAGCGUGGCAGACGGGUGAGUAACACGUGGGUAACCUACCCGGAGGUGGGGGAUAACCCUUCGAAAGGAGGGCUAAUACCGCAUGACAUCGCGAGGACCUCGGUUCUUGCGAUCAAAGCUGGCCUCUGUUUCCAAGCUAGCGCCACUGGAGGGGCCCGCGCCCCAUUAGCUAGUUGGUGAGGUAACGGCUCACCAAGGCCACGAUGGGUAGCCGGCCUGAGAGGGCGACCGGCCACACUGGAACGGCGACACGGUCCAGACGCCUACGGGAGGCAGCAGUGAGGAAUCUUGCGCAGUGGGCGAAAGCCUGACGCAGCGACGCCGCGUGGAGGAUGAAGGUCUUCGGAUUGUAAACUCCUGUCGAGUGGGACGAAUGCCAUGAGGGUGAACAAUCCUCGUGGUUGACGGUACCGCUGGAGGAAGCCCCGGCUAACUCCGUGCCAGCAGCCGCCGUAAUAC